UAUAUACUCCCUCCGUACGGAAAUACUUGUCAUCAAAAUGGAUAAAAGGGAUGUAUCUACUUGUCAUCAAAAUGGAUAAAAGGGAUGUAUCUAGAUGUAUUUUAGUUUUAGAAACAUCCCUUUUUGUCCAUUUUGAUGACAAGUAUUUUCGGACGGAGGGAGUAUAAU
rfam:Triticum aestivum genome assembly, contig: Triticum_aestivum_CS42_TGACv1_scaffold_556123_7AL